UACGUAGGUGGCAAGCGUUGUCCGGAUUUACUGGGCGUAAAGGGCGUGCAGGCGGUCUGUUAAGUGCAGGGUGAAAGCUCCCGGCUCAACUGGGAGAGGUCCUUGCAUACUGGCGGACUUGAGGGGGGUAGAGGAAAGUGGAAUUCCCGGUGUAGUGGUGAUAUGCGUAGAUAUCGGGAGGAACACCGGUGGCGAAGGCGGCGAUCUGGGUAGAUACUGACGCUGAGGUGCGAAAGCGUGGGGAGCAAACAGG
rnacentral:rRNA from 1 species